AUUGAACGCUGGCGGCAGGCUUAACACAUGCAAGUCGAACGAGUGGCGGACGGGUGAGUAAUGCCUGGGAAACUGCCUGAUGGAGGGGGAUAACUACUGGAAACGGUAGCUAAUACCGCAUACCAUCAGAUGCGCCCAGGUGGGAUUAGCUUGUUGGUGGGGUAAGGGCUCUCUAAGUCGACGAUCCCUAGCUGGUCUGAGAGGAUGACCAGCCGCACUGGAACUGAGACACUGACAAGAUUCCUACGGGAGGCAGCAGUGGGGAAUAUUGCGCAAUGGGGGCAAACCUGAUGCAGCCAUGCCGCGUGUAUGAAGAAGGCCUUCGGGUUGUAAAGUACUUUCAGCGGAGAGGCGUUACCCGCAGAAGAAGCACCGGCUAACUCCGUGCCAGCAGCCGCGGUAAUAC
rnacentral:rRNA from 1 species